rnacentral:rRNA from 1 species
CUUGCUGGUCUGAUCAGUGGCGAACGGGUGAGUAACACGUGAGCAACCUACCCUUCACUCUGGGAUAAGCCUUGGAAACGAGGUCUAAUACCGGAUACGAGACGCACGGGCAUCUGUAGCGUCUGGAAAGAUUUAUCGGUGGGGGAUGGGCUCGCGGCCUAUCAGCUUGUUGGUGGGGUAAUGGCCUACCAAGGCGACGACGGGUAGCCGGCCUGAGAGGGCGACCGGCCACACUGGGACUGAGACACGGCCCAGACUCCUACGGGAGGCAGCAGUGGGGAAUAUUGCACAAUGGGCGAAAGCCUGAUGCAGCGACGCCGCGUGCGGGAUGACGGCCUUCGGGUUGUAAACCGCUUUCAGCAGGGAAGAAGCGCAAGUGACGGUACCUGCAGAAGAAGCGCCGGCUAACUACGUGCCAGCAGCCGCGGUAAUACGUAGGGCGCAAGCGUUGUCCGGAAUUAUUGGGCGUAAAGAGCUCGUAGGCGGUUUGUCGCGUCUGCUGUGAAAACCUCAGGCUCAACCUGGGGCUUGCAGUGGGUACGGGCAGACUAGAGUGCGGUAGGGGUGACUGGAAUUCCUGGUGUAGCGGUGGAAUGCGCAGAUAUCAGGAGGAACACCGAUGGCGAAGGCAGGUCACUGGGCCGCAACUGACGCUGAGGAGCGAAAGCAUGGGGAGCGAACAGGAUUAGAUACCCUGGUAGUCCAUGCCGUAAACGUUGGGCACUAGGUGUGGGGUCCAUUCCACGGAUUCCGUGCCGCAGCAAACGCAUUAAGUGCCCCGCCUGGGGAGUACGGCCGCAAGGCUAAAACUCAAAGAAAUUGACGGGGGCCCGCACAAGCGGCGGAGCAUGCGGAUUAAUUCGAUGCAACGCGAAGAACCUUACCAANGGCUUGACAUACACCGGAAAAGNGCAGAGAUGUGCUCCCCGCAAGGUCGGUGUACAGGUGGUGCAUGGUUGUCGUCAGCUCGUGUCGUGAGAUGUUGGGUUAAGUCCCGCAACGAGCGCAACCCUCGUCCCAUGUUGCCAGCGGGUUAUGCCGGGGACUCAUGGGAGACUGCCGGGGUCAACUCGGAGGAAGGUGGGGAUGACGUCAAAUCAUCAUGCCCCUUAUGUCUUGGGCUUCACGCAUGCUACAAUGGCCGGUACAAAGGGCUGCGAUACCGCGAGGUGGAGCGAAUCCCAAAAAGCCGGUCUCAGUUCGGAUUGGGGUCUGCAACUCGACCCCAUGAAGUCGGAGUCGCUAGUAAUCGCAGAUCAGCAACGCUGCGGUGAAUACGUUCCCGGGCCUUGUACACACCGCCCGUCAAGUCAUGAAAGUCGGUAACACCCG